GAUGAACGCUAGCGGCAGGCUUAAUACAUGCAAGUCGAGGGACAGCACAGGUAGCAAUACUGGGUGGUAACCGGCAAACGGGUGCGGAACACGUACACAACCUUCCUUUAAGUGGGGGGUAGCCCAGAGAAAUUUGGAUUAAUACCCCGUAAUAUAGUUGAAUGGCAUCAUUUGAUUAUUAUAGCUACGGCGCUUAAUGAUGGGUGUGCGGCUGAUUAGAUAGUUGGCGGGGUAACGGCCCACCAAGGCUACGAUCAGUAGCUGAUGUGAGAGCAUGAUCAGCCACACGGGAACUGAGACACGGGCCCGACUCCUACGGGAGGCAGCAGUAAGGAAUAAUGGUCAAUGGACGCAAGUCUGAACCAGCCAUGCCGCGUGAAGGAUUAAGGUCCUCUGGAUUGUAAACUUCUUUUAUUUGGGACGAAAAAGGGCCUUUCUAGGUCAACUGACGGUACCAGAUGAAUAAGCACCGGCUAACUCCGUGCCAUCAGCCGCCGUAACAC
rnacentral:rRNA from 1 species